CACUCACACACACACACACUCUGUCUCACACACACUCACACACACUCACACACACACACUCUCUCACACCCACACACACACACACACACACACACACACACACACACACACACACACACACUCAGCAUGACUUUGUCACACAGGGAUCGUUUUUUUUAGAAUUAGAAAUUUUAGGUAAGAUUUCCCCCUUUUUUUAAGUCACAUCUACAUUCUUCAUCUCCUUUAUAAACAUUUACAUUUUGCUGAAUUGACUCUAAAUCAGUAAAAAUCACUAAAUAUUAUAAACAUAAACACCAUAAACACUAGAAAUAUACACAAUAUACACAAUAUACACAAUAUACACAAUAUACACAAUAUACACACACCCAAACACUCAGCGCCUCUCAGAUAACGCUGUAAACUGAAAUAUUGUAUAUUUUCCAUCCGACCUCAUCUGUGUGUAUGCAUGUGUGUGUAUGUGUGUAUGUGUGUGUGUGUGUGUGUGUGUGUGUGUGUGUGUGUGUGUGUGUGUGUGUGUGUGUGUGUGUGACCUUGCUGUUGUAACCUGAUUCAUGCAGACUGGACAGAUAUAACUCUGAAACUCAACUCCACUGUAGUGUCUGUGGUUUCAUGCAGACAAGACAAUGACACCAGCAAAAAAAAAAAGUGUGUGUGUGUGUGUGUGUGUGUGUGUGUGUGUGCGUGUGUGUGCGCAUGUGUGUGUGUGUUCUGUGACAGCGAGCACCGUCCUUGAUAAGCAAGAAGAGUGUGAAAAUACAAGGCUUCAGGAAAGGAUUUGCUGCACUCUGGGCUACCAACAAAUCCAAACAAACCAAAGUGUGUUAUGGUGUCCCAAAAGUGUCCAAACGCAGGAGAAAUGAAUACUUUUUAAGCAAAAUAUGACCUGUCUCCUGUUCACGAUCAACUCACUAUCGUGUGAAAGACGUAACUGCUUCUCGUUCGGUAUCUUCUCCUGUUACAUCCUGGUCUUCACAUCCAUCCACAGGUGAAAAGCUUUAGUCAAAGGCUACGUAUAAACCAGGCUGAGGAGAUGUUAACGUCCCUGCGUUUGGAGACGUCUGGGACACGAAUCUUUUAUCAGACUUUAGCGUUACUAAAAAAAGUAGAAAUGUGGCUUACUAAAGCUGCUUCACAUAAAACAUCCAAAACUGAAAAUUUGUUGUUUGCAAAUUUUGGAGCUAAUUAGUCAUUUGUUACUGAUAUGUUUGUAGCCCAGAAAUCUCCGAAAUCUCCUGUAUGUUAAAGGAGUCAUUUGUUACUGAUAUGUUUGUAGCCCAGAAAUCUCCGAAAUCUCCUGUAUGUUAAAGGAGUCAUUUGUUACUGACAUGUUUGUAGCCCAGAAAUCUCCCGUCAUUUCCCUGCAGCAUUAAACCCUGAGCCUGGUUUUCACACGUGGGUAACAUUAAAUUAGCUGAACUGGAUCGUCACGGACUUUUUUCUUCAACGCUGAUGUUGGAUCUUGUUACCAUGACGACAAAACUAUAAGCUCUAACCUGUUUAAAAUGUUCGGAUCAGGAGCCGGAAACUUGACUCUUUUUUGUCCGGGUGUUUGGAGAUUUAUUUUACUGACAGCCUGAUUGUCUAAAGCGGGUUUAGAGAGAAAGUCGUUCUCGUUACGUUUUUGUGAGGCUGACCCCAGGACAGAAUCCUUCUGUUUCCUGUUAGCAGAUAUGAGAAAGGGGUUUGAACUGAAUCACAGUUCAGCAGAGAAAGUGAAUCAGAUUGUGACUUUGUGGAGCCGAGAAAAGCCCGAGACGGUGUGAAGUGCCAUUUUUGACUCAGUACCUCCACUUGACUCGACACCAGAAAACAGUCAUCACCAAAAAUGCACACGAUACAAAAGUUUUGUGUUUUGCGUGUCUGCGUCUGGGCCUUGUGCUGAUCAUCAGUCACACAACCCACAUUUUACUCCAUUAUAUUGGGAGAGGAUCAUCGUGUUAUAGGGUGUCAUAUUUAUUUAAUUUAAUUUAUUUAAGCUUCUUUACAGAUGUCUAUGCUUUUUAUUUGCUUUCCAAAAAAAUGUUCCAUAUUUUUGUUUAUUUUUCAAACUGUUCUGAUGCUUACAGUGAAACGCUGUUGGGGUUUGUGUGAAACUCGGCAUCAUCAUUCAUCAUCACAGAGACUGUUACUGUAAAGCAAAGACUAACUAAUAAUAAUAAUAAUAAUAAUAAUAAUAAUAAUAAUAAUAAUAAUAAUAUAAUGACAAUAAACAGUCAACAGUUAUCACGAAAGCCAAACGUAACGUCGGCACACGCCAAAUCACGUCUCAGAUGUCACACUGGACUUCUUUUCUUUUUUAAGUGAUCUGCAUAUUCAUGAGUCUGGAUGUGACUCUGCACUAUAUCGAUUAAUGAGGUCUGGAUCUUCUUUAUUCAGAUGAUCACUGAGCAUCGUGGGUUCCACAGAGCCCACAUCGUACAAUCGAUCUAUACAGUGCAGGUCACCUACAAAUCACCAAAAGUCAGAAUUAUGCAACGACUGAUUCUUACUGCACUCUGUGAGACGGACGAUAAAAAAAAAGAAGAAAAAGAAAAAGAAAUCGCAAUUUUUAACCUUGUUCAAAAUUUUCGCAGGUGAAAAAAAGCUGCCUUAACUGUCGCUUCUGCACUCCAGCAGUCUGAUGUUAAAAAAAAUCAUUCACUUUGUAAAAAAAAACAAAAAAACAAAAACACAAGAGAAAAAAAAACACAAUCACGAUAUAAAAUUCAUGCUCUUGUUGAUGUAUAUAUUGCUUUUUUCCUCUGUGACUCGUUUGUGAUGGGGAUUCGCAGACGAGUCGACUCUUACGCGAAUCCGAUGAAAAACUAAUCAAAAGGUUCUUUCUGAUGCGAACAGAAAAGGAACCGGUUCCGUUCCAGUUUGUGGUCGUCGUGGUGACGAGCUGCUCGGUAGCGAAUCGAAACUGGAAUCAAAAAAUCCCUAAAGUGAGUCGACACACACGCGACUCUGGUUCUUUGUAUUUCGCGUCAUCUCCCCUCGUGUCGUAUUUCACACCAUCUGCCCUUGUAAAUCGUACUCGCGGAACAUUUUCUAGUAUUAUUUAUUAAUGACAAAGUGUUUGCAUUUGCAAAUAAACAAAAAGAAGGAAGGUGUCAUUUUGAACAGGGUAUCCUGCAGAGAGGCCUUCAGCUCACGUGUGUUCGCUUCUUUUCUAAAUUAAGGAAGGAAACAGCAGGAAAAAUAAUGAUAAUGAUCUUUUUGUCUUUUUAUUAUGAAAUUGUUAUUAAAAAAAAGUUGCCAAGUUUUGCUUUUAAAAACAAAUGUAUCUUUUUUUUUGUCUUGUAACAGUAUUUGUUUUGAACGAAUAAAUAGAAGCAAAAGCAACUUUUCCAUCUGA